rnacentral:rRNA from 1 species
UUAAAGAAAGCGUAAUAGCUCACUGGUCGAGUCGGCCUGCGCGGAAGAUGUAACGGGGCUAAGUAGUAAACCGAAGCUGCGGCAAUGUGCUUUUGCACAUUGGGUAGGGGAGCGUUCUGUAAGCGGUUGAAGGUGUGUGGUAACGCAUGCUGGACGUAUCAGAAGUGCGAAUGCUGACAUGAGUAACGAUAAAGGGGGUGAAAAACCUCCUCGCCGGAAGACCAAGGGUUCCUGUCCAACGUUAAUCGGGGCAGGGUAAGUCGACCCCUAAGGCGAGGCCGAAAGGCGUAGUCGAUGGGAAACGGGUUAAUAUUCCCGUACUUCUUACAAUUGCGAUGGGGGGACGGAGAAGGCUAGGUGGGCCUGGCGACGGUUGUCCAGGUUCAAGUGCGUAGGCUUAAGAGUUAGGUAAAUCCGGCUCUUUUUAAGGCUGAGACACGACGUCGAGCAUCUACGGAUGUGAAGUCAUUGAUGCCAUGCUUCCAGGAAAAGCCUCUAAGCUUCAGAUUGUAAGGAAUCGUACCCCAAACCGACACAGGUGGUCGGGUAGAGAAUACCAAGGCGCUUGAGAGAACUCGGGUGAAG